CCUGAGUGGUGGCACACCCCUGUAGUCCCAGCUACUUGGGAGGCUGAGCCCACCGGGUCGCUGAGCCCAGGGGUUCUGGGCUGCAGUGCGCUAUGCCGAGGGGGUGUCCAUGCUAAGGCUGGCAUCAAUAUGGUGAGCCAUGGGGAGCCGAGGCACACCAAGUUGACUAAGGAGGGGUGAACUGGCCCAGGUUGGAGACGGAGCAGGUCAAAGCUCCCGUGCUGGUCAGUAGCAGGAUCAUGCCUGUGAAUAGCCACUGCAGCGUAGCCUGGGCAACACAGAGAGACACAGGUUCCU
rnacentral:SRP_RNA from 1 species